rnacentral:RNase_P_RNA from 1 species
GCAGCCGGACGGUCUGUCGCUGGCGACUCUACGGAGUCGAAAGAGGAAAGUCCGGGCAGCAUAGGGCAUCCCACUUCCUAAUGUAGAAGCAGUCCGCGAGGGUUGAGUAAUGCAGAAGAAAAUAACAACAGCUUCGGCUGAAAUGGUGAGAAGGUGAGGUAAGAGCUCACCAGCGGCAUGGUGACAUGUCGGCUGUGCAUCUUGGGAGCUGCAAGUUCAUGUAAACCACCCGACAGAGGGUAGCCCGCCCGAGUUGACGAAGGUCUGAGCAGCAAUGCAACAGGGCCGGGGCUCAUACGGUGGAGGGUAGAACGCUUGAGCCAUGAGGUGACUCAUGGAGUAGAUAAAUGACAGACACAUGUCUUAAUUGAAAAUUGAAAAUUGAAAGUUGAAAAAUUGGAAAUUAGAAAUUGACAAUUGGCAUGAACAGAACCCGGCUUAUAGCCCGACUGCUUUC